rnacentral:rRNA from 1 species
GAUGAACGCUGGCGGCGUGCCUAACACAUGCAAGUCGAACGGAAAGGCGCGGCUUUUGCGGGGUUCCCGAGUGGGGAAGGGGUGUGAAACACGGGAGUAACCUGUCCGUGACUGAGGGAGAACUUCAGGAGACUGGGGAUCAUACCGGGUAGGAGCUCCUGAAGCGUGGGGGGGGUUGGAAAGAGUCGGUGGUGUGGGCAGGACUCGCGGCGUCUCAGCUGGUUGGUGGGGUAGUGGCCUAACAAGGCGACGAGGCGGAUCCGGCCGGAGGGGCUGAUCGGCCACACUGGAACGGAGACACGGUCCAGACUCCUACGGGAGGGACCAGUCGGGAACGGUAGGCAAUGGGCGAAAGCCUGACACAGCGAGGCCGCGUGUGUGAAGAAGGUCUUCCGAUCGGAAAGCCCUGUUUCUGGUGAUGAACCGCUGUGUCCUGAGACAUGGCGGGAUUGACGGUACUGAGUCAAGAAGCACCGGCUAACUACGUG